CGGGGAACCCGCGCCGCUCGCUGCGGCCGCCUCUGCUCCGGAUUGCCGAGGUGAGACCCGCCCGCGGCUGAGGGUGGGACAAGCGAUUCAGUUCGUGCUCUGUGCUGGCUACAGCGCAAAACCGCUGAUCCCAAUGAUGCCAUGGAUGUGUAAUCCCGCAAUCAGUGACUGUCGCAGUAGCCACUCGCUUGUUUUCCCCCACCUUGGUUUGCUGGCAGUGCACGCUCAGUCUGACUCAGAGCCGCAGGGCAGCAAACCCUGGCCAGGAGAUCCCGUGGCUCUUGGUGCUGGGCUAGAGAAGGGCAGGGAGAACAGAUGAGAGUUUCACGAAGGGCAGCUUUUAGCAUGCUGUCAUUCAGUGCUGGGUGCCAGCCAGUUCUCCAUCAGGCUGCAUGUAAAGUCUUAUUUGUCCUGGCAUUGAACUGCUUUUUCUUACUGCAGAAAAGCUUUUCUGGAUCUACCAGAAUGAAAGUGAAAGUGCCAAGUACUCAGCUUGACAUGGAGAGUGGAAGAUGCUGUCAGCCUGCAUUUUUCACCUGUGGAAGAGGAUGAAGUUCUAUCUAAGCAGAACAACCCCCUUCUUGGUCUGUAGCGUUAUCCCAAAACAUUCACCCACUUCUGAUAUUGCAGGAGAAACAACAAACUCGUGGUUGAGGUAGGGAGAAUGGCAGCUCAGAAAGUGCCUUGGUAACAUGUCCAUGGAUCCAGGGCAGCUGUCCUGGUGUUUGCUGUAACUUGUCCCAGGAAGCAGGGAUCACACUGGGACUGGGACUCUUGCAUGGAUGAUGGUGAUUCCCACUUCUGAAGCUGUGCCAGCAUGGAGGUAAGUGGAGCAAUAGCUGACAAGCCAAGCACCAGCUUCUUGGAAGAGCAGCUGGAGUGAAAUGGGUUGGAAAAGGCUUUAAGGGUCGUUUCUGUGGGAAUGGGCUGACAAUCCUGCUGCUUAAUUCAUGUAAAAAGAAAUUACAGUCUCCAAGUGUCUCCUUGUUCAGCAGAGUUCAAUCCCUAAAAGACAGCCAGCGUGCCCAUGGCCCAAAGUCAAGGAUGUGAACUUGUAGGCACAGCCAGAGACUGAUGAUCUUCAGCAAAGCAAGGACCAUCAGUUUGGAGACAGAGCUACACUUCAGCAGAGGAAACUGCACCCUGUUCACACCUGAAGUUUGAAACAUCUGUCUGGGGGCAUGAACACCUGUGGGAGUAAUGGCUUUCCAGGUCUGUCUCCUAACAAGGAAUUUGGAAUCACUGAGUUGAGGUUUUCAGUGCCCUUGGCAUUUCAGAGGGGAUAUUUGUGCACCUGCUAGUUGCUUCCCCUCCUGGGAGAUGAACGUCACAGCCUGCCCACGCUCCCCAAGAGGCUUCACUUACUGAUGAGCGCUGUUACUGCAACAGCUGAAGUCAGCACAAUUCUGAAGUCAUGUCAUGAAUCAUAAAACAAGCACCUCCUCUCUUUGCCAAUGCAAACUCUGGGGUUUUCUGCCUCUUUCUAGAAGUGCCAGUGCUCCCUAACACUGCACAGCUCUCCUUCCUGCUACUGGAAGCAAACCUUGUCCCUGUGGCACAUGCCCUUGGCAGCAGAGCUCCCUGUGCAGCCUGCACUGCCAGGACAGCCCUUGCAGCUGACCCCACAGAGCCCCGAGCUGAAAGGCCCUUACAAAUUCAGCCUGGAGCUGAAAGGCAAGGCAGACUUCCUCUGGACAGCCUCUCCUCUGCACUGAGCACAGGCACAUUGGCCAGGACUUCUGGUGGAGCUGCAUAAGCCAGGACAUGGACUGAGGAAAGGCUGCAUCUUCCAGCUUAACUAAAACAAAACACAGCCCAACCUCAGCUUAGCUGCAAAAGCCAGCAGGAGCUCUCACCAUCCUCAAGUGCUUCACUGCUUUUGAGCUUGAAUUUCUUUCCCUGAACUUUGAGUUAAUCAGUAGAAAUGCUGAGGUUUCCUGUAUUUCACAAAAGUGUUUUCCAACAAUUACUGCUUCCAACAAGGCAUCUGUUUACAUGUUGACAUAAAAAAUGUGGUUUCUUUUUCUUGUUCCCUUGGCUGCAGCUAGUUAGUUCAUUUGGGAUUACAAUGGUAGCACAGUAGGACUUUGUUUGUCUUUUCCUUGCAUGAAAUUUUGUUGAAAGUGUGAACUCUAAAAGGCAUUGAAAUGAGACAAAGUAAAAUAUAUUUUUUAAAUGAAAAGACGUAAACAUUUUCUUCUCUGUCCCAGCCUCAGAGGUUUUGUAAUCUCUGUUCCAGCCUCAGAGGUUUUGUAAAUCUUUGAAGUUCAGUGGUUUCUGUAGAAAUGCUUAAACUACAGUUUUUCAUCCAUAGAACAGUCUCCUCCAUCCUGCAUCAAAAAGGUUUGAAACCCCCAAACUCUAAGAGAUUUCACUCUGCUAAGAGUGAAAGGCUUCCCUGGUUGCCAGGCAGUACCUGUCACCUUCCUUCAUCCAUGUCUGAAAUAUCUGAAUUUACACCAGCACAAAAUAAUGCCUGGCAAGGUGUGUGGUCCUAGCAAGGUGGCUGAAAGGCAGAAAUUGCCAUUGUGACCUUCUUAUUAAUUUGGCAUUAAAUUAUGGAGGACUGCUAAAAGCACCAAACUCAGAUUCCUCCUGAUGCACCUGGCAGGCCUCUGGUCCUUGGUGAAACUGUGGCUCAUGGAUGGUGAGUUUUUAUCCACUCUCCCUUUUUUCAGAGGGUUAUUUUCUCUCUGCUGCAUUUCUUUCAGUGUCUAAUGUGUGGUAAAAAUUAAUAUUUGAAUACUACAGCAUCUGUGACUUCUAACUGGGGUUGAGAUGAUGUAAAGGCUGCAUGCUCCUUUUCCAGAUACCUCUUUGCCUGAUGUUGAGGUCUAUAAAGACGCCUGGUCAAAAAAGAGUUGAGAUGGGGAAUAUUUCCCCUAGACAAUUAAAUGAUGGGUCCAAAAUAGGUACUGUUUAACUGUGCACACUAAUAGCUAAAUCUAGACUGUCUGAUUCCAUCAACUCUUUGAUUGCAUCAGGAAUUCAGUUUGACCUCUCUGAAAGUUAUUAUAAAAGAUGCAUAGAUGUUCUGUGGAAUUUUCAGAAUUACAUUAAUGUUUGCCUACCACUGAAACAGAUGUCUAGAGGUUUUCCAAAUCCCAUGAAGAAGUUAUUUUAAAAGCUGCCUGAACUGAUGUAACAUAAAUUGUGUUUUUACAUUCUUAUUAUAAAAUAGAAGCUAAUCAUCAAAACAACAAUUCAAAUCCAUGCCUACAAAUUCUAAAUAACUUCCUCAGUUUCAACUUACACUGUAUAAACAAAAGCAGUUAUUGAUUAUUGCAAAUGUUGAUCAGGAGUCAUUAAAACAAAUUAAAGAUACCAGAGGCAGGUCCUUAUGUUAAGGAAAAAAAAAAUAAAUGCAAACAUGGGUAACACCUCAGCAGUGUCGGUACACAGGAAAGUGCAUCUGGCAGAGCACUUACAGUGAUUGUUGUCACCUCCCAGCAUCACUGAAAACAUGUGGAAAAUCCCAGUUGA